AUGGGGUUUAGUGCAUAUCAAAAGAUAUCGGCGGCAAUGCGGGUACUCGCUUAUGGCAUACCCGCGGAUUAUACCGACGAGUAUCUUCGCAUUGGGCAAGAUACAACCACAGAGUCAGUCCGUAGGUUUGCCAAGUUGGUCAUCUGGUUGUACGGUGAGCGGUAUCUUCGGGCACCAAACGAGGAAGAUACAAAGAGAUUAAUGGAAAUGAAUGAAAAAGGGGAUGGUCGGGGAUGCUAG
rnacentral:rRNA from 1 species